rnacentral:rRNA from 1 species
GUGCCAGCCGCCGCGGUAAUACAGAGGGGGCAAGCGUUAUUCGGAAUUAUUGGGCGUAAAGGGCGCGUAGGCGGCUUGGCAAGUGACGGGUGAAAUCCCUCGGCUUAACCGAGGAACUGCCUGUCAGACUGCUUUGCUUGAGGCCGGGAGAGGCGAGUGGAAUUCCCAGUGUAGCGGUGAAAUGCGUAGAUAUUGGGAGGAACACCAGUGGCGAAGGCGACUCGCUGGACCGGAUCUGACGCUGAGGCGCGAAAGCGUGGGGAGCAAACAGGAUUAGAAACCCGCGUAGUCC